AUAGCUUCAGAAAUGUCUGUAACAACAAGGGUUCGACGUGGAAUCAAUGAAGAACGUUGCGGGAUCAGACCAUUAGGUUUAAGGAUUAUCAGAGGGGGAAUAGCAAUACCUCAUUCUUGGCCGUGGAUGGUCGGAAUUUUCGAAGUAAAUCCUCAACGUUUCAUUUGUGGUGGAACUAUUAUUAAUAAAGGCUCCGUUGUCACUGCCGCCCAUUGUCUUGUGACACAGUUUGGAAACAG